rnacentral:piRNA from 1 species
GCGGAGAGAAUGUUAGGUUCUGAUGGAGCA